rnacentral:sRNA from 1 species
GCUCUUCCAAUCUGCAAAAUGUUCCAGUGAACACAUUUCAACAGUUCAACUUUAUAACAAUUAUAAAUAAACCUGUUAAAAUUUUCUGGACAA